rnacentral:rRNA from 1 species
AUUGAACGCUGGCGGCAUGCCUUACACAUGCAAGUCGAACGGUAACAGGUCUUCGGAUGCUGACGAGUGGCGAACGGGUGAGUAAUACAUCGGAACGUGCCCGAUCGUGGGGGAUAACGAAGCGAAAGCUUUGCUAAUACCGCAUAAGAUCUAAGGAAGAAAGCAGGGGACCGCAAGGCCUUGCGCGAACGGAGCGGCCGAUGGCAGAUUAGGUAGUUGGUGGGAUAAAAGCUUACCAAGCCGACGAUCUGUAGCUGGUCUGAGAAGACGACCAGCCACACUGGGACUGAGACACGGCCCAGACUCCUACGGGAGGCAGCAGUGGGGAAUUUUGGACAAUGGGCGAAAGCCUGAUCCAGCCAUGCCGCGUGCAGGAUGAAGGCCUUCGGGUUGUAAACUGCUUUUGUACGGAAUGAAAAGACUCUGGUUAAUACCUGGGGUCCAUGACGGUACCGUAAGAAUAAGCACCGGCUAACUACGUGCCAGCAGCCGCCGUAAAAC